rnacentral:rRNA from 1 species
CACCGCGGUUAUACGAAAGGCUCAAGUUGAUAAUCUUCGGCGUAAAGAGUGGUUAAAAGACAUCUUAAACUAAGGCUGAACCACCCCAAAGCUGUCAUACGCUCCUGGGAGUGUGAAAUACAACCACGAAGGUGGCCUUAAAUACUCUUGACCCCACGAAAGCUGUGAAA